rnacentral:lncRNA from 1 species
AAGUGGUUUGCAACAAAGACUGAACUAUAAUAGCUCUAUUGACUAACUCACCAUUCAUCAGACCAAGUCAGGCUUCCACAAAUUAUUUGCAAUAGGGUGAUCUAUGUAGACAACCACAAGAUGACUGUAGAAAUACAUCCUUAGUCAGUUAGCUAUUGUGAAUAACGCUAGCGCCUCCUUCUUAAUCUGCUAAUAACGUGUCUUCGGAUCCUACAAAAUUCUGGUAAUAAAAUAUAUUAAUUCUGUUUCGGGGACCCCUUCGAUCAAGGUUGUGCUUAUUGCUUCAUCCAAUUUGAUGGGUGGACUAGCCAGGAUUGUCUUUAUUUCUACAAACACGACUUCAUAUUGCUCGUCUCACUUGAUGAGAAAGCUUUUCUUCAUAAUCUUCAAGGUGGGUUUUAUUUUCUCUGCCAACUUAUGGAUGAACUGACACAAAGAAGUUAGGUGGCCCACUAACAUUUGCACUUCCUUUAAGUUUUAUGGGCUCCUCAUGUUUAGGAUGAUUGUUCACUUGUAUGGAUUCGCCUCAAUGCUCAGUGUAGUGAGAAUGAAAUCCAAAAUUUUUCCCACUCAAACACUGAAA